rnacentral:rRNA from 1 species
GGGUUGUGAGGUUAAGCGAAUAAGCGUACACGGUGGAUGCCUAGGCAAUCAGAGGCGAUGAAGGACGUGCUAAUCUGCGAUAAGCGUCGGUAAGGUGAUAUGAACCGUUAUAACCGACGAUUUCCGAAUGGGGAAACCCAAUAUCCAAUGGAUAUUAUCAUUACGUGAAUACAUAGCGUAAUGAAGCGAACCGGGAGAACUGAAACAUCUCAGUACCCCGAGGAAAAGAAAUCAACCGAGAUUCCCCUAGUAGCGGCGAGCGAACGGGGAACAGCCCAGAGUCUUAAUCAAUAGCAGCAUCAGGAGAACGGUCUGGAAAGUCCGGCAGUAAAGGGUGAUAGCCCCGUAUCUGAAGAUGCUGUUAUUGUGAACUCGACGAGUAGGGCGGGACACGUGUUAUCCUGUCUGAAUAUGGGGGGACCAUCCUCCAAGGCUAAAUACUCCUGAUUGACCGAUAGUGAACCAGUACCGUGAGGGAAAGGCGAAAAGAACCCCGGCGAGGGGAGUGAAAAAGAACCUGAAACCGUGUACGUACAAGCAGUAGGAGCCUCUUUUAUGGGGUGACUGCGUACCUUUUGUAUAAUGGGUCAGCGACUUAUAUUCUGUAGCAAGGUUAACCGUAUAGGGGAGCCGUAGGGAAACCGAGUCUUAACUGGGCGAAUGAGUUGCAGGGUAUAGACCCGAAACCCGGUGAUCUAUCCAUGGGCAGGUUGAAGGUUGGGUAACACUAACUGGAGGACCGAACCGACUAAUGUUGAAAAAUUAGCGGAUGACUUGUGGAUGGGGGUGAAAGGCCAAUCAAACCGGGAGAUAGCUGGUUCUCCCCGAAAGCUAUUUAGGUAGCGCCUCGUGAACUCAUCUUCGGGGGUAGAGCACUGUUUCGACUAGGGGGUCAUCCCGACUUACCAACUCGAUGCAAACUGCGAAUACCGAAGAAUGUUAUCACGGGAGACACACGGCGGGUGCUAACGUCCGUCGUGAAGAGGGAAACAACCCAGACCGCCAGCUAAGGUCCCAAAGUCAUGGUUAAGUGGGAAACGAAGUGGGAAGGCUCAGACAGCCAGGAUGUUGGCUUAGAAGCAGCCAUCAUUUAAAGAAAGCGUAAUAGCUCACUGGUCGAGUCGGCCCGCGCGGAAGAUGUAACGGGGCUAAACCAUGCACCGAAGCUGCGGCAGCGACACUUAGGUGUUGUUGGGUAGGGGAGCGUUCUGUAAGCCUGCGAAGGUGUGCUGUGAGGCAUGCUGGAGGUAUCAGAAGUGCGAAUGCUGACAUAAGUAACGAUAAUGCGGGUGAAAAACCCGCACGCCGGAAGACCAAGGGUUCCUGUCCAACGUUAAUCGGGGCAGGGUGAGUCGACCCCUAAGGCGAGGCUGAAAAGCGUAGUCGAUGGGAAACGGGUUAAUAUUCCCGUACUGGUGGUAACUGCGAUGGGGGAACGGAGAAGGCUAGGUUGUCCGGGCGACGGUCGUCCCGGUUCAAGCAUGUAGGCAGAGUGAUUAGGCAAAUCCGGUCACUUAAUGCUGAGGUGUGAUGACGAACCACUAAGGUGGUGAAGCAAUUGAUGCCCUGCUUCCAGGAAAAGCCUCUAAGCUUCAGGUUACCAACAAUCGUACCCCAAACCGACACAGGUGGUCAGGUAGAGAAUACUCAGGCGCUUGAGAGAACUCGGGUGAAGGAACUAGGCAAAAUGGUGCCGUAACUUCGGGAGAAGGCACGCUGGCGGUAAGUGAAGUCCCUGCGGACGGAGCCGAAGCCAGUCGAAGAUACCAGCUGGCUGCAACUGUUUAUUAAAAACACAGCACUGUGCAAACACGAAAGUGGACGUAUACGGUGUGACGCCUGCCCGGUGCUGGAAGGUUAAUUGAUGGGGUUAUCCUUAGGGAGAAGCUCUUGAUCGAAGCCCCAGUAAACGGCGGCCGUAACUAUAACGGUCCUAAGGUAGCGAAAUUCCUUGUCGGGUAAGUUCCGACCUGCACGAAUGGCGUAAUGAUGGCCAGGCUGUCUCCACCCGAGACUCAGUGAAAUUGAACUCGCUGUGAAGAUGCAGUGUACCCGCGGCAAGACGGAAAGACCCCGUGAACCUUUACUAUAGCUUGACACUGAACAUUGAGCCUUGAUGUGUAGGAUAGGUGGGAGACUUUGAAGUGUGGACGCCAGUCUGCAUGGAGUCAACCUUGAAAUACCACCCUUUAACGUUUGAUGUUCUAACCUAGGUCCAUAAUCUGGAUCGGGGACCGUGUCUGGUGGGUAGUUUGACUGGGGCGGUCUCCUCCUAAAGAGUAACGGAGGAGCACGAAGGUUGGCUAAGCAUGGUCGGACAUCAUGCGGUUAGUGCAAAGGCAUAAGCCAGCUUGACUGUGAGAGUGACGGCUCGAGCAGGUACGAAAGUAGGUCUUAGUGAUCCGGUGGUUCUGAAUGGAAGGGCCAUCGCUCAACGGAUAAAAGGUACUCCGGGGAUAACAGGCUGAUACCGCCCAAGAGUUCAUAUCGACGGCGGUGUUUGGCACCUCGAUGUCGGCUCAUCACAUCCUGGGGCUGAAGUAGGUCCCAAGGGUAUGGCUGUUCGCCAUUUAAAGUGGUACGCGAGCUGGGUUUAGAACGUCGUGAGACAGUUCGGUCCCUAUCUGCCGUGGGCGUUGGAAGAUUGAGAGGGGUUGCUCCUAGUACGAGAGGACCGGAGUGAACGCACCACUGGUGUUCGGGUUGUCAUGCCAAUGGCAUUGCCCGGUAGCUAAGUGCGGAAGAGAUAACCGCUGAAAGCAUCUAAGCGGGAAACUUGCCUCGAGAUGAGUCUUCCCUGUCACCUUGAGUGACCUAAAGGAACGUUUAAGACUAAGACGUUGAUAGGCUGGGUGUGUAAGCGUAGCGAUACGUUGAGCUAACCAGUACUAAUGAACCGUGAGGCUUAACCUGACAACACCGAAGGUGUUU